rnacentral:snRNA from 1 species
AUACUUACCUGGCAGGGGAAAUUCCAUGAUCACGAAAGUGGUUUUCCCAGGUCGGGGCUUAGCUAUUGCACUCCGGAUGUGCUGACCCCUGCAAUUUCCCCAAAUGUGGGGAAUUCGAACGCAUAAUUUCUGGUAGUGGGGGACUGUAUUCACACACACACACA